rnacentral:rRNA from 1 species
AUUGAACGCUGGCGGAAUGCUUUACACAUGCAAGUCGAACGGUAGAGGGGGCAACCCCUCGAGAGUGGCGAACGGGUGAGUAAUAUAUCGGAACGUGCCCAGUCGUGGGGGAUAACGUAGCGAAAGUUACGCUAAUACCGCAUACGAUCUAAGGACGAAAGCGGGGGAUCGCAAGACCUCGCGCGAUUGGAGCGGCCGAUAUCAGAUUAGGUAGUUGGUGGGGUAAAGGCUCAACAAGCCAACGAUCUGUAGCUGGUCUGAGAGGACGACCAGCCACACUGGAACUGAGACACGGUCCAGACUCCUACGGGAGGCAGCAGUGGGGAAUUUUGGACAAUGGACGCAAGUCUGAUCCAGCCAUUCCGCGUGCAGGAUGAAGGCCCUCGGGUUGUAAACUGCUUUUGUACGGAACGAAAAGGUCUCUCUUAAUACGGGGGACUCAUGACGGUACCGUAAGAAUAAGCACCGGCUAACUACGUGCCAGCAGCCGCCGCGG